AGCGAACGGGGAGCAGCCCAGAGUCUGAAUCAGCUUGUGUGUUAGUGGAACGGUCUGGAAAGUCCGACGGUACAGGGUGAUAGUCCCGUACACCAAAAUGCACAGGCUGUGAACUCGAAGAGUAGGGCGGGACACGUGGUAUCCUGUCUGAAUAUGGGGGGACCAUCCUCCAAGGCUAAAUACUCCUGACUGACCGAUAGUGAACCAGUACCGUGAGGGAAAGGCGAAAAGAACCCCGGCGAGGGGAGUGAAAAAGAACCUGAAACCGUGUACGUACAAGCAGUGGGAGCACCUUCGGGUGUGACUGCGUACCUUUUGUAUAAUGGGUCAGCGACUUAUAUUCUGUAGCAAGGUUAACCGUAUAGGGGAGCCGCAGGGAAACCGAGUCUUAACUGGGCGUUAAGUUGCAGGGUAUAGACCCGAAACCCGGUGAUCUAGCCAUGGGCAGGUUGAAGGUUGGGUAACACUAACUGGAGGACCGAACCGACUAAUGUUGAAAAAUUAGCGGAUGACUUGUGGCUGGGGGUGAAAGGCCAAUCAAACCGGGAGAUAGCUGGUUCUCCCCGAAAGCU
rnacentral:rRNA from 1 species